GAUGAACGCUAGCUACAGGCUUAACACAUGCAAGUCGAGGGGUAACGAGAGGAAAGCUUGCUUUCCUUGUCGACGACCGGCGCACGGGUGAGUAACGCGUAUCCAACCUGCCCCCAACUAGGGAAUAACCUUGCGAAAGUAAGACUAAUACCCUAUAAUUUCCUCAGAUGUCAUCUGACGAGGAAUAAAGAUUUAUCGGUUGUGGAUGGGGAUGCGUCUGAUUAGCUUGUUGGCGGGGUAACGGCCCACCAAGGCAACGAUCAGUAGGGGUUCUGAGGGGAAGGUCCCCCACAUUGGAACUGAGACACGGUCCAAACUCCUACGGGAGGCAGCAGUGAGGAAUAUUUGUCAAGGGGCGGAAGCCUGAACCAGCCAAGUAGCGUGCAGGAUGACGGCCCUAUGGGUUGUAAACUGCUUUUAUACAGGAAUAAAGUUAGCCACGUGUGGUUAUUUGUAGGUACUGUAUGAAUAAGGACCGGCUAAUUCCGUGCCAGCCGCCGCCGUAA
rnacentral:rRNA from 1 species